AGUUCGGAUUGCAGGCUGCAACCCGCCUGCAUGAAGUUGGAAUCGCUAGUAAUCGCGGAUCAGCAUGCCGCGGUGAAUACGUUCCCGGGCCUUGUACACACCGCCCGUCACACCAUGAGAGUCGGGAACACCCGAAGUCCGUAGCCUAACCGCAAGGGGGCGCGGCCGAAGGUGGGUUCGAUAAUUGGGGUGAAGUCGUAACAAGGUACC
rnacentral:rRNA from 1 species